rnacentral:lncRNA from 1 species
AAAAAUAAUUCAUUUCAUACUUUGUAUGUCUAUACAUUCAUUUCAAAUUUUUAUAUACGUAUAUGAUGUAACGAACUAUUUACCUAUCUAGCCUCUUUAUAAAAAAAUAUUCCCUAUCUAGCCUUCUUUUGAAAAAUAUUCCCCAUCUAACCUCAUUUUCAAAGAUUUGAGAAAAAAAGAAAAAUUAAUACCUUUAAUAUAUAUUAAGGGGUUAAGUGGGGGAGAUUAUCUUUUUCUCUCUCCUCUCCUAUUUUCCGAUAUCCCUUCUCACUCUCUAAUUUUUGCGUAUAAUUUAUCUCAUAUCGAUUUAUUUCAAAAUAGAAAAUUUUUAUAUAGCGCAUCAAUCUUUUUAUAUUUUGAUGGAAAUAUUAUGCAUGAUUCGGAAGGAGUUGAUUAUAAUGGUCCUGAUCCAAAACUAUUUGGAUUUCUCGUACUUUAGGUUUUAAUACAUUAAAACAUAAAAUUUAUAAGCCGAAUGGGAUCAAGAUUAUUUUGAUAUAAAAAUUAAUGGGAGAGGAGAGAGAAAAAGAUAAUCUCCCCCACUUAACCCCUUAAUAUAUAUUAAAGGAAUUAAUUUCUCUUUUUUUCUCUAAUCUUUGAAGAUGAGGCUAGAUGGGGAAUAUUUUUCAAAAGGAGGCUAGAUAGGGAAUAUUUUUUUGUAAAGAAGCUAGAUAGGUAAAUAGUUCUAAAAUUAGAUCACAUAAAUAAAAAAAUCUAUUCAAUUAAGCAUUUUGAAAUUUUUACAUUGGUACCGACCGUCCCUAGAGCAAGUGGCAAAGGGCUUGGUGGUUGGUACCCGAGAUCCCUUCUCACUCUCUAAUUUUUGCGUAUAAUUUAUCUCAUAUCGAUUUAUUUCAAAAUAGAAAAUUUUUAUAUAGCGCAUCAAUCUUUUUAUAUUUUGAUGGAAAUAUUAUGCAUGAUUCGGAAGGAGUUGAUUAUAAUGGUCCUGAUCCAAAACUAUUUGGAUUUCUCGUACUUUAGGUUUUAAUACAUUAAAACAUAAAAUUUAUAAGCCGAAUGGGAUCAAGAUUAUUUUGAUAUAAAAAUUAAUGGGAGAGGAGAGAGAAAAAGAUAAUCUCCCCCACUUAACCCCUUAAUAUAUAUUAAAGAAAUUAAUUUCUCUUUUUUUUUCUAAUCUUUGAAGAUGAGGCUAGAUGGGGAAUAUUUUUCAAAAGGAGGUUAGAUAGGGAAUAUUUUUUUGUAAAGAAGCUAGAUAGGUAAAUAGUUCUGAUAUAACAUUCCAACAAUUUAUUACAAAUAAAAGAAUCAUGAAUCCUAAUACUAAUAAGUAAAAGAUUGAACGUAAG